UGUGGCGGUGAGGGGUGGUAAAGUCGCCCCAGGAGUGCCAGUCCGCGGCGUUUUCGGUCCUCUGAAAGUCUGACUCACAACGGGCAAUUUGCAAAGGCUUCGGCGACCUCACGGGUUAAAUCGAAAGGCUGCAUCGCUCGCCUUCACAGCGCAAUCACAGCGAUAUAUAAAUAAGCACUACUACGGGGAAGGCAGGGCGCACUCAUUUUCCAGUGGGAAUGGUGAAUGCCUGGUGCCUUUUCCAGUCAAUCUCAUUCUUCGGGUGUCAGCAGUUCUGUGAAACAGUGUACAUGACAGAGGUCAAGGUGACCUGUUGUUGUGGGUUUUGCCACUGUGGCAACAGACGUAAUGACGUAUUCGUAACGUUUUUGGAUUGUAUCAUCCAUUUCAAGGCAAGCGCACAGAUUCUGUGCACGAACUGUCCUCAUUUUGUAUGGAAAACGAUGAUGAGGCUUAUUUAUUGCUCAUUUAUGAGACGAAAGAUUGGUAAAAUGCAUCCAGGAAGAACUGCUGUAUUUCUAAUGGCCCCAUUAUUGGAACUCUGCAACAUGUGAGUGCAAUCUGCACUGCUCCAGAAUAUCGAGUCUUUAAAUUUUUACCCAGUCUGUUUGCUGGUUCAAAUGAUCUG